ensembl:lncRNA
UUCGGAUUUCAAAGUAGGAGGUCAAAACGAAGACAUGUCACACAAACCUCAGACUGGAAUAGGUGUCGCGUUCCAGGCAGAGGUAGAGUUCCUCUCAAGUUUUCCUACAAGACAGGCGGUGGAGCUUCCAUAUAGGCCCACAGAAUUACGUCUUUGAAUAGCUCGAUUUCUUAGAAUGUAAACAAGAAAAGUUCAAGCUUGUUCACUCCUAGCUUUUUCAAAAUAAACAAAACGUGAAGAUUAGCAUAAUAGUAUUGUAAUCAAAGAAUUUAAAUAAAAAAAGGGGAACUAAAGUGGCAGCGAGAUUAAGAAUCUCUGAGCUGAUGUGUUUAAAGUAUGCUACUCACGAUUGUAUUUAUUCCUGGUAUGGUACCCGCUUGCUACGGACCCGAUAGGAGGGCAUAGACUUGGAAGGGGUUGUCUGCCGGCAGCUCCGUACCAUGUCUCUUUCGACCUGGUCUUGGGAGUAAGGAGGGUGUCCGACCGUUGUCAAGGCAACGCUGUCCUAGAGCUGCGGCUGCUCUUUCACGCCCUCACCAAAGCCGCGUGCCACCUGUACCUGGCGGUUCUCCCGCUACGCCGCGCCGCCCUGCAGCUUGCCCGAUUCGUCUGUCACCUUGCCAACCACGGACCCGCCUCCGCCGGCCGGGCGUCUCCACUACUCCUGGAGGGCGUGUGUGUUGUUUGUGAAGCCACGCCGGACCUGUUGGGCGCAGGGCUCAGUCUAUGUGCCGUGCUGUGUCACAUCCUGCAGGGGGCGCUGUUCCUGUUGGCGGCCACCCUGCGGUCGGUCCAGGAUAGCGUUCUGGCCCAGGUGGACGGGGAGAGGGAGAGGUGGGAGAAAGAGCGACAACGCGCCAGACAACUGGAGAAGAGACAAAACGCCAGGGUGGUGGAAUACCUCUCUGUCUGUGAAGACCCUGCAAGUUCCCUACGACUCAAGGUGGACAUGAUCGAUAGAUAACAAUGAUCGACAGGUGAAUCGAUUGUUUAUUGGGAUGGUGGUGAAUUACACAAACGUUGUUUUCUGGCACAUUAUGCCUUUAUACACCUAUAUCGCCACUGCCUUUUGUAAUGGUAACUGAUUUGGAAUAUAAGGGUUCGGGGAGCCAGUUCAGGUUCCCUCCAACUGAUUCACACUGCAAAAAGGGACGAGGCUGGGAGGGGGAACAUUUUUUACAAACCUCCCAUUUUAGGCUGGAUGUGUAAUGUUGUUUAAAUUUACAUAAUCUAUAAACAGAAUUACAAUUUUCGGGAGCACUUUUACCAGUGGUCAAAAAUCCCAGAAUGCGUUUUGGUCUGUUUCUGUCAUGGUUGGUUAUUGUUAGAUGUCUGACACGGUCUUAACGGUUGUAUCUGUUACUGUGAGUUUAUAUCGAAUCUGUCUGUUACAUUUAGUUGGUUGUUGUCAGUCCCUAUUACGGUCUUAUAGUCAAUUAAUGCCAAAGAGGCAAUCUGCAGUUGUAAAACCAUAUCACUGAUCACCAGUCCUCAAUCCACAACUCUUUCUAAAUGUUUAGUUUUUCAGGUCUUAGACUUGUUUUACAGAAAGGGUUAGAAUUAACUUCGUUAUUGUUUCAACUGCAGAUUGACCCUUUAUUGUUAAUUACUGUCAGAUAGUCUAUGUUUCUGCUCAACAUGGC